rnacentral:rRNA from 1 species
UACAGAGACCUCAAGCGUUAUCCGGAAUCAUUGGGCGUAAAGCGUACCGAUAGGUGGUUUCCAAAGUCAGAGGUGAAAUCUCAAGGCUCAACCUUGAGUCUGUCCUUUGAUCCUUGUAAACUUGAGGGGCAAAGAGGAAGCUGGAACAAACGGUGUAGUAGUGAAAUGCGUUGAUAUCGUUUGGAACACCAAUAGCGUAGGCAGGCUUCUGGGUGCCACCUGACACUGCUAGGACGAAAGCGUGGGGAGCGAAUGGG